rnacentral:misc_RNA from 1 species
GAAAUGCGAUAAGUAAUGUGAAUUGCAGAAUUCAGUGAAUCAUCGAAUCUUUGAACGCACCUUGCGCUCUUUGGUAUUCCGAAGAGCAUGCCUGUUUGAGUGUCAUGUAUUCCUCAAUCUACAUGGAUUUUUCUAUGGCAGAUUGGAUUUGGAAGCUGCUGUUCAUACCCCGAUCAGCUCUUCUUAAAUGUAUUAGUGUGAAUGUUGUCAGACGUUCUCCAGUGUAAUAAUCAUUUGCGCUGCAAGGACUUUGGCAGAUUAUAUGUUCAUGCUUCUAAUCGUCUAUUUCAGACAAUACCUUUUGCGUUUGACCUCAAAUCAGGUAGGAUUACCCGCUGAACUUAA